UCGGCCUAUCUGAAAUACCAGUGAAUUGAACACUCAGAAGACAACCACUUGUUGCGUUCUCUCCUGAUGGAAGAGCAGUCGUUCUCAGCAUCAGACUCUAACCUCUUCUGGCUUUUAAUCAGGAGUUACUUCCAAGAACAGGGCAACAGGCUGGAGCAAAGGUGAUGUGAUAUCGAAGUAUGUUAAUGUCACCCUGCAUCAAUAAGACAUAAGAUCCUAAAGACAAUAUGCAAGCUCAAAGUGAAUGGAAAGCUGGGCACUCACCUCUCUCCCCAAAUACAAGAGCAAUCAGAGCACACCACCACAGAAUUUGACUUCUGGCUCCUGCAAAGUAGCUAAUAAAUACAUUUUCACAGAA